AGAUUGAACGCUGGCGGCAGGCCUAACACAUGCAAGUCGAGCGGCAGCGGGGAGUAGUUUACUACUUUGCCGGCGAGCGGCGGACGGGUGAGUAAUGUCUGGGAAACUGCCUGAUGGAGGGGGAUAACUACUGGAAACGGUAGCUAAUACCGCAUAACGUCUUCGGACCAAAGUGGGGGACCUUCGGGCCUCACGCCAUCGGAUGUGCCCAGAUGGGAUUAGCUAGUAGGUGGGGUAAUGGCUCACCUAGGCGACGAUCCCUAGCUGGUCUGAGAGGAUGACCAGCCACACUGGAACUGAGACACGGUCCAGACUCCUACGGGAGGCAGCAGUGGGGAAUAUUGCACAAUGGGCGCAAGCCUGAUGCAGCCAUGCCGCGUGUGUGAAGAAGGCCUUCGGGUUGUAAAGCACUUUCAGCGAGGAGGAAGGCCAAUAACUUAAUACGUUGUUGGAUUGACGUUACUCGCAGAAGAAGCACCGGCUAACUCCGUGCCAGCAGCCGCGGUAAUACGGAGGGUGCAAGCGUUAAUCG
rnacentral:rRNA from 1 species